ACUGAAAAAAGUGUUUGGAAGGUGAACAACCAAACAAUCACCAAUAUCCAAUCACGGUGGUUCCAUUGUACUAUUCAGGUGGGUGUUAACUGAAACUCACACAGGUGUGAAAUUGAGGUCACAAUGCUUCCAUAACAACUGUAUCACACCUCCCCAAGCCUUAAUGAUCGCUGCAGAGAUGGCGGACUCUAUUUAUGGCUGAUGUUGAUAAUGUGGUAGUGAAUGCCUUCCUUCACUAGUUGCAGUCAGAAGAUUUUUUUAUUUGAAUACAAUUGUCUGUACAGAUGAUCUUGGGACCUUCAUUCUUCUGCAAAUUGUUCCUAAGAAUGAACCAGACUUCAAAAGAAGACCCCCCCAAACUGUUGAGCAGCUGAAAUCUUAUAUAAGCUGAGGAGUCAACCGUGAAACAUUUAAGGCAGAAAAACCAACCUCAGAGGCUGGGACACUUGGGCAAGAGAAGAGAACUGUUCCACGGUUGAGUAUUUCCUUUGUAAGAAAAAAAUAAAAUACUGCUUUCAAAGUUUAA